rnacentral:misc_RNA from 1 species
GCCUCCGUAUGGCGCAAAGUCAAUGCGAGCUGAUAUACCAAGAGUGUUGAGUCUUGGAAUUUUGUCAACAUUUAUAAGAGUCACAUUUGAUCCAACUUGAUUUCAUGUAUUUCCUGGGAUGUUGAGACCAGAAAAAGAGAAAUCGUUUGCUGUUGCAAGCAUCGGGUCUCUGCAGAACUUUCCAUUCACGAACACACCAUCCUUGGGGUCAUUGGCGGCAACACAAAAGUCUUG